rnacentral:rRNA from 1 species
GACAGAGGUGCCAAGCGUUAGGCGGAAUCACUGGGCUUAAAGCGUGUGUAGGCGGAUCGUUAAGUACCUUGUGAAAUCCCACGGCUCAACCGUGGAACUGCUGGGUAUACUGGCGGUCUUGAGCCACCUAGGGGCGAGCGGAACAAACGGUGGAGCGGUGAAAUGCGUAGAUAUCGUUUGGAACGCCAACGGUGAAAACAGCUCGCUGGGGGUGUGCUGACGCUGAGACACGAAAGCCAGGGGAGCGAACGGG